rnacentral:rRNA from 1 species
UACGUAGGGUGCAAGCGUUGUCCGGAGUUACUGGGCGUAAAGCGCACGCAGGCGGUCUGCUAAGUUUGGAGUGACAGUUGGUGGCUUAACUGCCAAAGUGCUUCGAAAACUGACAGACUUGAGGGCUUCAGAGGGACACGGAAUUCCGGGGUGGAGUGGUGAAAUGCGUAGAGAUCCGGAGGAACACCAAAGGCGAAGGCAGUGUCCUGGGGAGUACCUGACGCUCGAGGUGCGAAAGCCAGGGGAGCGAACGGGGA